GAUGGUGUGUGGGUUCUCUCGCAUACUUUCCGGUGCACUUCCUUGCUCGGCAGGUUAGCAUCAAUUUCGGUUAUCAUAAAAAAUUUGAGGGAAUGUGGCUUUCCUUUGGGGAAAGUGUUAUAGACCUUGAUCUAUGUGGUGACCGGGAUUGAGGAUUGCAGCGGAUACCCUCGUGGCUUGUCACCUGGCUUCUGACAGUUACCUCGCUUUCGACAGCUUUCUAACGUUAGUGGGACUCGAUUGUCUAGAUGUCAGAUUGACUCUAUUUCGCUAAGGAUGCUGACGUAAUGGCUUU
rnacentral:rRNA from 1 species